rnacentral:rRNA from 1 species
UAAUACGUAGGUGGCUAGCGUUAUUCGGAUUUACUGGGCGUAAAGAGGGCGUAGGCGGUCUUACAAGUCAGAUGUAAAAUCUCUCGGCUUAACCGGGAGGGAUCAUUUGAUACUGUUAGACUUGAGGGCAGCAGAAGGAGGUGGAAUUCCCGGUGUAGUGGUGAAAUGCGUAGAUAUCGGGAGGAACACCAGCGGCGAAGGCGGCCUCCUAGGCUGUUACUGACGCUGAGGCCCGAAAGCGUGGGGAGCGAACAGGAUUAGAUACCCUGGUAGUCCACGCCGUAAACGAUGGACACUGGGUAUGGGGAGUAUCGACCCUCUCCGUGCCGAAGCUAACGCGUUAAGUGUCCCGCCUGGGGACUACGGCCGCAAGGCUA